rnacentral:rRNA from 1 species
AUUGAACGCUGGCGGCAGGCCUAACACAUGCAAGUCGAGCGGAUGAAGGGAGCUUGCUCCUGGAUUCAGCGGCGGACGGGUGAGUAAUGCCUAGGAAUCUGACUGGUAGUGGGGGAUAACGUCCGGAAACGGGCGCUAAUACCGCAUACGUCCUGAGGGAGAAAGUGGGGGAUCUUCGGACCUCACGCUAUCAGAUGAGCCUAGGUCGGAUUAGCUAGUUGGUGGGGUAAAGGCCUACCAAGGCGACGAUCCGUAACUGGUCUGAGAGGAUGAUCAGUCACACUGGAACUGAGACACGGUCCAGACUCCUACGGGAGGCAGCAGUAGGGAAUAUUGGACAAUGGGCGAAAGCCUGAUCCAGCCAUGCCGCGUGUGUGAAGAAGGUCUUCGGAUUGUAAAGCACUUUAAGUUGGGAGGAAGGGCAGUAAGUUAAUACCUUGCUGUUUUGACGUUACCAACAGAAUAAGCACCGGCUAACUUCGUG